rnacentral:rRNA from 1 species
GACGAACGCUGGCGGCGUGCUUAACACAUGCAAGUCGAACGCUGAAGCUUGGUGCUUGCACUGGGUGGAUGAGUGGCGAACGGGUGAGUAAUAAGUGAGUAACCUGCCCUUGACUCUGGGAUAAGCCUGGGAAACUGGGUCUAAUACUGGAUACGACAUGUCACUGCAUGGUGGUGUGUGGAAAGGGUUUUACUGGUUUUGGAUGGGCUCACGGCCUAUCAGCUUGUUGGUGGGGUAAUGGCUCACCAAGGCGACGACGGGUAGCCGGCCUGAGAGGGUGACCGGCCACACUGGGACUGAGACACGGCCCAGACUCCUACGGGAGGCAGCAGUGGGGAAUAUUGCACAAUGGGCGGAAGCCUGAUGCAGCGACGCCGCGUGAGGGAUGACGGCCUUCGGGUUGUAAACCUCUUUCAGCACGGAAGAAGCGAAAGUGACGGUACGUGCAGAAGAAGCGCCGGCUAACUACGUG